AGAGUUUGAUCCUGGCUCAGGAUUAACGCUGGCGGUAUGCCUAACACAUGCAAGUCGUACGAGAAUUUUAUUCUAGUGGCGGACGGGUGAGUAACACGUGAGAAUCUACCUCUAGGAGGGGGAUAACAGUUGGAAACGAUUGCUAAAACCCCAUAUGCCAUUAUUGGUGAAAAAGAUUUAUCUGCCUGGAGAUGAGCUCGCGGCUGAUUAGCUAGUUGGUAGGGUAAUGGCUUACCAAGGCAACGAUCAGUAGCUGGUCUUAGAGGAUGAUCAGCCACACUGGAACUGAGAUACGGUCCAGACUCCUACGGGAGGCAGCAGUGGGGAAUUUUCCACAAUGGGCGAAAGCCUGAUGGAGCAAUACCGUGUGAGGGAUGAAGGCCUGUGGGUUGUAAACCUCUUUUUUCAGGAAAGAAACUUUGACGGUACCUGAAGAAUAAGCAUCGGCUAACUCCGUGCCAGCAGCCGCGGUAAUACGGAGGAUGCAAGCGUUAUCCGGAAUCACUGGGCGUAAAGCGUCUGUAGGUGGUUUAUCAAGUCUGCUGUUAAAGCUUGAGGCUUAACCUCAAAAAAGCAGUGGAAACUGAUAGACUACAGAAUGGUAGGGGCAGAGAGAAUUCUCAAUGUAGCGGUGAAAUGCGUAGAUAUUGAGAAGAAUACCGAUAGCGAAGGCGCUCUGCUGGGCCAUUACUGAACCUCACAGACGAAAGCUAGGGGAGCAAAUGGGAUUAGAUACCCUGGUAGUCAAGGGCGAAA
rnacentral:rRNA from 1 species